AAGUCGUAACAAGGUUUCCGUAGGUGAACCUGCGGAAGGAUCAUUCAAAAUAUCCUUUAUUUCAUUUGUGUGUAAUAUCGUGUGCGUGUUUUCUCCUUCUAUCUUCGGGGAGAAGAAGGAAACACCGCAUACACACAUAAACCUUUUUUUCUUCAAUUUUUUGGGCGCAUUCUUGGCCGUUCAGUGCCAGCGUCAAUUUUGUCAUUGAAUUUCUUUGAAAAAAAAAAUUCAGAAACAACUUUCAACAACGGAUCUCUUGGCUCUC
rnacentral:misc_RNA from 1 species